UACGUAGGGUGCAAGCGUUGUCCGGAAUUAUUGGGCGUAAAGAGCUCGUAGGCGGUCUGUCACGUCGGACGUGAAAAUCCAGGGCUCAACCCUGGACCUGCAUUCGAUACGGGCAGACUAGAGUUCGGUAGGGGAGACUGGAAUUCCUGGUGUAGCGGUGAAAUGCGCAGAUAUCAGGAAGAACACCGAUGGCGAAGGCAGCUCUCUGGGACGGUACUGACGCUGAGACGCGAAAGCGUGGGGAGCGAACAGG
rnacentral:rRNA from 1 species